rnacentral:rRNA from 1 species
CGUACGGGAGUCAGCAGUGGGGGAUAUUGCACAAUGGGGGAAACCCUGAUGCAGCGACGCCGCGUGGGUGAAGAAGCGCCUCGGCGCGUAAAGCCCUGUCAGCAGGGAAGAAAAUGACGGUACCUGAAGAAGAAGCCCCGGCUAACUACGUGCCAGCAGCGGCAGUAAUACGUAGGGGGCAAGCUGUAUCCGGAUUUACUGGGUGUAAAGGGGGCGCAGACGGCGAUGCAAGCCAGGAGUGAAAGCCCGGGGCCCAACCCCGGGACUGCUCUUGGAACUGCGUGGCUAGAGUGCAGGAGGGGCAGGCGGAAUUCCUGGUGUAGCGGUGAAAUGCGGAGAUAUCAGGAGGAACACCGGUGGCGAAGGCGGCCUGCUGGACUGCAACUGACGUUGAGGCCCGAAAGCGUGGGGAGCAAACAGGAUUAGAUACCCCGGGUAGUC